AGGAGAGCGAGAGGAAGGCGCACAGGCAGAGCAGCAGCAGCGUCAGGAAGGUGCCAUUGCGGAGCCUCAUCUCCUCGGGCCCGCGCCAGUGCCAAGAAGCGGUACUGCUCUCCCUGCUGCUGAUGAGCUGGGUGGCCUGAGACGGGCCUUGUCGGAGCCUCCUGGAGGAAACUGUCUUGUUGAGCCUCUGCACGCCCAGCUGUAUCCUCUGAAAGAGCAACAGUUGGCUGGCUCCCGGCCAGUUUUCCAGGACGUUCUGCGUCCUUCCUGCGCUGCGUCCAUCGGGGUCUGCCUGCAGCCCUGUCCCGCCGGCACUUCUUGGCAGUAUCAGCAGCCCUUUUGUAAUGCGCUGUGUUGUAUGCACCUGAAAACAUGGCUCUGCGCGGGGCCCUUGGUCUUCUCUCCACGCUGAGGGUGUCUCUGGCCCAGAGAGAGUUUGGGAGUCCUCGCCUCACCCCUCUACUGGCCCUUCUUCCCUCGGAUGCCUCAUUUUCCUGUUCACUCAGAACAAAGGCCCAUGGGGCUCAGAAGGCUUCCCCUGGGGGCAGCAACCCCGCCUGGAGGACAGAGGCCUCCCGGAGAAAUCAGAAUUCUAUGGUCCCAAAUCCCCUCCCCAGGAGGAACCAGGGGAAGAUUGAUCUUAUCACCUAAUAAACCCAGCUCUUAUCUCAAAACUGUAGGUCCUGGCUCCCACCUUGCCGCCCCCCCCCCCCCCCCCGAUUUUCCUGGAGUCCUCGUCUCCCCUGUUAGCGCCCUUCGGCUCCUGCUCCCCCGCUGCCUCCCUUACCAAGUUGGUCUAGAA